GCCGUCUUAGCUCAGUGGUAGAGCGCGUGGCUUUUAACCACGUGAUCGUGGGUUCGAUCCCCACAGACGGCG
rfam:Macleaya cordata isolate BLH2017 scaffold1037, whole genome shotgun sequence.